rnacentral:rRNA from 1 species
UACGUAGGGCGCAAGCGUUGUCCGGAAUUAUUGGGCGUAAAGAGCUCGUAGGCGGUCUGUUACGUCCGCUGUGAAAACCCAGGGCUUAACCCUGGGCUUGCAGUGGAUACGGGUAGACUAGAGGCAGGUAGGGGAGAAUGGAAUUCCGGGUGGAGUGGUGAAAUGCGUAGAGAUCCGGAGGAACACCGAAGGCGAAGGCAGUGUCCUGGCGAGUGACUGACGCUGAGGUGCGAAAGCUAGGGGAGCGAACGGG